CUCUCGUCCCUUCUUUUUUUUUUGGCUUGGGUGCCACAGCCAUAGUGGCAAGGGGCAAUGCUCCUUUUCUUUCUCUUGGGCCCUUUGUGCAUGGUCGGACUACCACCUCUAGCUAUCGGUACUCCAGCCAUGCUAUCACUACCGACACCAUCCAUCCUUUUCCCCCUUUGCUCUCCCUUGAAAGCCCUAGUGAAACCCAUGGAUCGGCAUGAGAAG
rnacentral:lncRNA from 1 species